rnacentral:rRNA from 1 species
UACUUAGGUGGCAAGCGUUGUCCGGAUUUACUGGGCGUAAAGAGCGCGCAGGCGGUCGUUCAAGUCGCGUGUGAAAGCCCCCGGCUCAACUGGGGAGGGUCACGCGAUACUGAUCGACUCGAAGGCAGGAGAGGGUAGUGGAAUUCCCGGUGUAGUAGUGAAAUGCGUAGAUAUCGGGAGGAACACCAGUGGCGAAGGCGACUACCUGGCCUGUUCUUGACGCUGAGGCGCGAAAGCUAGGGGAGCAAACGGG